AAACUUUCAACAACGGAUCUCUUGGCUCUGGCAUCGAUGAAGAACGCAGCGAAAUGCGAUACGUAAUGCGAAUUGCAGAAUUCAGCGAGUCAUCGAAUCUUUGAACGCACAUUGCGCCCGCCAGCAUUCUGGCGGGCAUGCCUGUCCGAGCGUCAUUUC
rnacentral:rRNA from 1 species